GGCCCACCAUCAUAUAGGUUUUCCUUAUUUGGUUCUUGGCCAGGGUUCUGGCCUCGGUCCUCUGACUUCAGAUUCAGUGUUCUCUGCUCUUCAACGCUGAGGUGGUUGGGGUAUAGCACCAAAUAAUAAGGUUUAUGUAGGCACCAAAUGUUGGGGUUCGGUCAUGUGAAGAAUUCACAAUGGCCUUUCUUUUUGGCAAAAGAUAGGCUUAUUUAUGAGAAGAGGUUACAGACAAGAGGAAGAGAUGCAUUUGACACCAAGAAUGUUUCCUUCGGAGCCUUCCAAACACCGAGUUAAUUCUAGCUAUGCAUGUGCAAUCCCAAUUUCAACGUGGAGUCCUGGAAAGUAUACUGCCAAGGCAAGUUGAAGAAUUUACCAUCAGUGUGGCAGCUGCCUUUUUGAUUCCAUGUUCGUCCUCAUUGAAGGCAUUUGACAACAUGGCUGAAAACAUCGUGCUAAAAAGCAUGGGAGCAAACACACAGCCUCGUUUCACUCCAUUAGUGACUGGGAAAACUCAAGAGCAUUGCCCAUUGUCCAGAACCCGGCCUGCAUGCCAUCAUGAAAUUGAUGUCCUAUACUGAUGAACUUCUCUGGGCGACUGAAUUUUGACUUAAUUUUCCAUAAUCCUUUGUGACUGAGAGUAUCAAAGGCCUUGGUCAAAUUUAUAAAUCUUAUAUACAAAUCUC